AUAUGCCUGGCUCCCUGUAUGCCGCACGUAGUAUCAGUCUCUUGCAGACUGCCUUCUCCGGGUGGCAUGCCGGGAGUUGAGCAUAU
rnacentral:pre_miRNA from 1 species